ensembl:lincRNA 1700016G22Rik RIKEN cDNA 1700016G22 gene
AGGCAAUAUUCACUCGUUAAACAGUUCUUCGUUCUCAACUGUUCUCUGGGGGGGGGGGGGGGGGGGGGGGGAAAAAAGUAAAAUGAAGUCGACAGGGUCUGGGCCUGGGGCUGUUUUCUUGUAGAUGGAUUUAUGGAAGUGACUUUCUUCUCUGGCCCGGCGAGAGAACUGCUUUCUGGUUUACAGAACUUGGGUGUAGUGAGAAUCCUCCCUUCCACCAGCACUGAAGAAGCACUUCCUCUGAAAGAAGAUUCUGGAAAUGUAGUGGAAGACCUUGCCACCUCACAUCUACCGCCUUGUCUACCUCGUACCUCCUCGGGAGUGCCUGGUGGAGACAUGUGGAAAAGAGCUGGAAAGUGAGAAUAGAAUCCCAUUUAUCCACAGUAGCUCAACUAUAGUUAUUAAGGAGUUAUAAUACUGUUCACUGCUUCUGCCUGUGGUGUCUAUUUCUUCCCUCUUUGUCAAAGCCACUUUCGGGUGCCUUAGCCUCUUCCAGAUCCAAGCUUUCUGACUGACGUGUUUAAGAAAGUGAAAUAAAAGUUUGUAGACUACCCUA